rnacentral:rRNA from 1 species
CAAUUCGUGGUAAGCUUGGGUCAUAGAGACUCAUAGGUGUUAUAAAGACUCGCUGGUGUUUGUCUCCUUGAGGCAUACGGCUUUAACCAAAACUCUCAAAGUUUGACCUCAAAUCAGGUAGGAGUACCCGCUGAACUUAAGCAUAUCAAUAAGCGGAGGAAAAGAAACCAACCGGGAUUGCCUUAGUAACGGCGAGUGAAGCGGCAAAAGCUCAAAUUUGAAAUCUGGCGUCUUCGACGUCCGAGUUGUAAUUUGAAGAAGGCGACUUUGUAGCUGGUCCUUGUCUAUGUUCCUUGGAACAGGACGUCAUAGAGGGUGAGAAUCCCGUGUGGCGAGGAUCCCAGUUAUUUGUAAAGUGCUUUCGACGAGUCGAGUUGUUUGGGAAUGCAGCUCUAAGUGGGUGGUAAAUUCCAUCUAAAGCUAAAUAUUGGCGAGAGACCGAUAGCGAACAAGUACAGUGAUGGAAAGAUGAAAAGAACUUUGAAAAGAGAGUGAAAAAGUACGUGAAAUUGUUGAAAGGGAAGGGCAUUUGAUCAGACAUGGCGUUUGCUUCGGCUUUCGCUGGGCCAGCAUCAGUUUUAGCGGUUGGAUAAAUCCUCGGGAAUGUGGCUCUGCUUCGGUAGAGUGUUAUAGCCCGUGGGAAUACAGCCAGCUGGGACUGAGGAUUGCGACUUUUGUCAAGGAUGCUGGCGUAAUGGUUAAAUGCCGCCCGUCUUGAAACACGGACCAAGGAGUCUAACGUCUAUGCGAGUGUUUGGGUGUAAAACCCGUACGCGUA